UACGUAGGGUGCGAGCGUUAAUCGGAAUUACUGGGCGUAAAGCGUGCGCAGGCGGUUUUGUAAGCCAUGGGUGAAAUCCCCGGGCUCAACCUGGGAAUGGCAUUUGGGACUGCAAGGCUGGAGUGCGGCAGAGGAGACUGGAAUUCCUGGUGUAGCAGUGAAAUGCGUAGAUAUCAGGAGGAACACCGAUGGCGAAGGCAGGUCUCUGGGCUGACACUGACGCUCAUGCACGAAAGCGUGGGGAGCAAACAGG
rnacentral:rRNA from 1 species